rnacentral:rRNA from 1 species
GAUGAACGCUGGCGGCGUGCCUAAUACAUGCAAGUCGAGCGAACAGACGAGGAGCUUGCUCCUCUGACGUUAGCGGCGGACGGGUGAGUAACACGUGGAUAACCUACCUAUAAGACUGGGAUAACUUCGGGAAACCGGAGCUAAUACCGGAUAAUAUAUUGAACCGCAUGGUUCAAUAGUGAAAGACGGUUUUGCUGUCACUUAUAGAUGGAUCCGCGCCGCAUUAGCUAGUUGGUAAGGUAACGGCUUACCAAGGCAACGAUGCGUAGCCGACCUGAGAGGGUGAUCGGCCCCACUGGAACUGAGACACGGUCCAGACUCCUACGGGAGGCAGCAGUAGGGAAUCUUCCGCAAUGGGCGAAAGCCUGACGGAGCAACGCCGCGUGAGUGAUGAAGGUCUUCGGAUCGUAAAACUCUGUUAUUAGGGAAGAACAAAUGUGUAAGUAGCUAUGCACGUCUUGACGGUACCUAAUCAGAAAGCCACGGCUAACUACGUG